rnacentral:piRNA from 1 species
UCCCCAGAGAAGCUGUGCCUCAUCUCCAC